rnacentral:rRNA from 1 species
AUUGAACGCUGGCGGCAUGAUUUACACAUGCAAGUCGAACGGUAACAGGCCGCAAGGUGCUGACGAGUGGCGAACGGGUGAGUAAUGCAUCGGAACGUGCCCAGUCGUGGGGGAUAACUACUCGAAAGAGUGGCUAAUACCGCAUACGAUCUAUGGAUGAAAGCGGGGGACCGUAAGGCCUCGCGCGAUUGGAGCGGCCGAUGUCAGAUUAGGUAGUUGGUGGGGUAAAGGCUCACCAAGCCAACGAUCUGUAGCUGGUCUGAGAGGACGACCAGCCACACUGGGACUGAGACACGGCCCAGACUCCUACGGGAGGCAGCAGUGGGGAAUGUUAGACAAUGGGCGCAAGCCUGAUCCAGCAAUGCCGCGUGCAGGAAGAAGGCCUUCGGGUUGUAAACUGCUUUUGUACGGAACGAAACGGCUCUGGUUAAUACCCGGGGCUAAUGACGGUACCGUAAGAAUAAGCACCGGCUAACUACGUG